CCCACUGAGCCAUCCUGUGGCCCUGGGCACCUCCUAGCUAGGGAACCGUUCCAGAGCUGCACCAUCAGUGCCAGCAGGGGCCAAGGGUGUGGGCUCUCCCAGUGACAGGGUGUGGGUUCCAUACCUGAAGCAGCUUCCGGCGCCUAAUGACCUCAUUGCACAGAGGAGGAGUCCAUCAGGGACCACCCAAACUUCCCACUCGGAAAUGCAGGAUGCCGGAGCUGGGAGGUGGAGCCAGCGUUUCCCUGCCCAGGUUGACGACAUAAAAAGCCCAUUGUAACUCUUCAAGAGGCUGAUGUUUGGCUCGAGCGUACGAGCAAUGUCCUAGAUAUAGGCUUCUGAUCAGCCUGGGUCCUGGCGGGGAGAUGACACCGAGCAGAGCCACCAUUGAGCUGCACUGGAUAAUGUAGUAUGAGUGAGAAAUAAAUCCUUGCUGUUGAAAGCUA